rfam:Myotis brandtii contig302465, whole genome shotgun sequence.
GACAGUUCUUGAGUGACUCACCCCAGAAUCGGGCUCCCUCCUCUCUAGUUCCGGGUGCGUUGCCCCAGAACCGCA